GUUUGGAACCUGGGAUUCAAAUGGCCUGGCAGGAAGUGCUCUAGCAGAGGGACUCUGGCCUUGCGAGAGUCCCUAUUUCCCUCUUUUUUUUUUGCUUUUCACACAGUAAAACCCUGCUUUACUUCCCUUUAAGUCGUCUGUGAGCCUAAAUUUUUGUGGCUGUGGGAAAGACAAGAACCCCAUCUUUAGCUGAAAUAAGGAAAAGUUCCGCAACAUUUUUGGCACACACCCUGGGGGCUCCGGAAGUGGUUUCCCCAAAUCGAACUUCAGUUUCAAAAUCGUCUUCCCUGGCACCUGGCUUUUUGAAUACUUCAGAGGGCCCCUGAAGUGUCCAGAAAAGAGAGAAAGUUCCCAGGAGAUGAAGACAUUGAAACUGCCAUCAUAAAAUUAAUAAAAGGUUCAAGAUUAGAAUUAUGGUAUUGGCCUGGAUUUUGUUAAGACAGAGACAUAGGAUUAUGUUGGCUCGGAGAAUGAUAUCUCAAAGGCUGGUGCUGAGAGUUCUUAGAAGCUGCUUCAGAAUCAAGGAUCUCUCCAGAGAUCAACCACUGGAGAAAAGAGACUAGGAGUCAUCACCAUAUCUAGACAGAGUGCUGCUCCAAGAGAUUAACUGAGGGACUUCAUCUGCAUAAUAAGACAACCUUUUUUCCGGGCGCAAUGGCUCACGCCUGUAAUCCUAGCACUUUCGGAGGCCCAGUUAUCUUCUCCUCAUAGUCCUCCACUAAAGCCUGAACGACAAGGAAUGCUGUCGGAACUGGACCUUGAUGAAGGAAAUACUUUCUGACUCAUUGGAAUUUGUUAUAGUCAAAAACCCUCAACCCUGCAUCCUACCAUCCUGGGCCUGCACUGCAAGUUACAUGAUCCCUGAGCUGACCACUUUGGCUUGGAUCCCUGGAAGGAGAAAGGAGAGAGAGCAACUAGUUCAGACACAAGCAUCUAGUUCAGCUUUGUUUGCCUAUGUGAUAACUUAGGUCUUCACGACGGCCCAGAGUAAGACGACGCAUGAGGACCCUUCUUGUCAUUUAAUUAUUGCUUGACCAGAACUGUGCCUUGUAAGGUGUUUCCAGACCUAAGAAUAACGGGAACAUGGAGGAGUGGCAUCUCCAGUGUAGCCACCCACCAAAGCCUCAUCCUGAACACUAUGGCCUAGUGGGUCACUUACAGGGAUGUAGCUGGCAUUGAUGUAGUCAGAGCAAGGAUCAUCAUCUACAUUGGAGAGCUUCACUCGCGUGGCAUCAUCUGGAAGGAGAGAUUUGCUGCUGAGUCUUGGAGUGACUUUUCUACAGUUUAUGUGAUGUGUGUGAUGUGCCUUAGCUCUGAUCCCCACAACAGCCACAGAUGGGAAGUGAUCUUAUCUCCAUUUUGCAGGGUUGAAGAUAGCAAGUGCAUCUCUGGGCAACUACUGCAGCUGGCUGUGGGGGACUGAUGCAUACUGUUGAGGCUGAUCUUACUCUGUCUCCUCUCUAUAAUCAAAAUGUGUCUCUGGAAGCUACUUCCCACCAUCCCUUGGCCAUUGGCACCUGGGCUUCUCACCUGUUCUGCUCUCCGCUGUGACUUUAUUGCUGAGAUCUCCACUGUGAGUUACCACCCACAGCACGUACUUCCUUCCAGGAACAAGGCCUUGAAACCGCCACUCCGUCAGGUCCUUGUCUUUCCAGUUUUCCUUCUUUGUGCCAUUGGGAUUAUAGAGAAUCAGCUCAUAAAAGUCAAAGUCCCCAGAGGCUGGACUCCAGUUGAACCAAAGGCUGUCUGUCGUGUUCCGAUUGGACCCCCUGAGAUGACUCACAGAGGCUGGGACUUAAACAGAAGAAAAAUUGUUACUGAGAACAAAACAGAAACACAGGCAUUUUGGCCCACAGAUCUCUAUUAAGAGAAAAAUACAAAGAAUAAAUGAGUAAGGCUCUUGAAACCAUUGAAUUGUACAAACUUUGGUGGUUUUAAAUCUGGAUUUGUGAAUAGCUGAGCCCAUUCACUGUCCCAUUUUGGAGAAACAUGAGGCAUUCUACAAUCUAGCCCUUCUCCAGGUGGAUGCUUACCUGUCCGCCCAACCACAUUUAUCUGAUUCUUCAGGGACCCGCUGACUGAGGCAAUCAUGAUCUGGUACUGCUCCCCGGCCUCCAGUCUGUGGAAUGUGUGCUCAAAGACGUGCUUGGGAAUAGUCUGAGAGUCAACCUUUUGACUGUGCCUGAAUGCCGACACCGUGUAGGAAUCAACGUCUCCCCCACCAGGAGUCCAGUUCACCGUCAGGCUAUCUGUUGCUCCAUUGGGAGAAAUGUGAAUAUUUUUGACAGCACUAGGAACUAAAACAGAAAAUAAAUUUAAAAGUCAUCACUUAGAGAAUGAACUGUUGAAAUUUUCAAACAAAGUUUUGAAUGCUUCUGAUGUUUUGGCACCCACUGAGAGAACUCACAUGAAAAAGAAAGUAACAAUUUGCCACUUUUCUGUGAUUUUUCUGUGUGAACUAAAGUUGAUGGGGGAAAGCUUAGGGGGAAGUCAAAGCCGGUUGGACAACAUCAUUGUCACUAUCAACAUGACUUUGUCCCUUCUUGCUGUCUCCCUUUUACCCCUCCAAAUGCUCAAUCGAAAUACCUGAACUACCCAAAAGUUAAAUGCACCACUGCAUCUAUUCAGGUUCAAGAACAGUAUUUCACAUUACCUGUGAAGCCCUCAAUGAAGGCUGACUGCUGUACAUCCCCGCUAAUCGUCAAGACAAGAAUUUUGUAUUGGCGGCCUGGUGUUAGGGAAGUAAAUCGAUACUCGGUUGCGGUAUUUACAAGGUGAAAAGGAGGAAAUACUUUCAUGUCAUUGAAGAGCAGCUGGAUCUCAUAUUGGUCGACAUCCCCAUUAGCUCCUGACCAAGUCACAUGCAAGUCCUCAGUGCUCCUGUUGCGCAAUGUUAGAUCCUUAACAGGCUCUGGAACUAGGGAGAAAAAUGAGAAGACAUUUCAGGAAAGGAACUGAUCAGAGUUUACCUACAUAAUAAUUUAUGAAUCACAUUCAAGGAACUGGCAACAUCUCCCUUCCCCAAAUAAACCACUAGCACUACUUCAUGCAUAAUUAAACAAGAAAAAUUGGAAGCAA